rnacentral:rRNA from 1 species
CACUCCUACGGGAGGCAGCAGUGGGGAAUUUUGGACAAUGGGCGAAAGCCUGAUCCAGCCAUGCCGCGUGCAGGAUGAAGGCCUUCGGGUUGUAAACUGCUUUUGUACGGAACGAAACGGCCUUUUCUAAUAAAGAGGGCUAAUGACGGUACCGUAAGAAUAAGCACCGGCUAACUACGUGCCAGCAGCCGCGGUAAUACGUAGGGUGCAAGCGUUAAUCGGAAUUACUGGGCGUAAAGCGUGCGCAGGCGGUUAUGUAAGACAGUUGUGAAAUCCCCGGGCUCAACCUGGGAACUGCAUCUGUGACUGCAUAGCUAGAGUACGGUAGAGGGGGAUGGAAUUCCGCGUGUAGCAGUGAAAUGCGUAGAUAUGCGGAGGAACACCGAUGGCGAAGGCAAUCCCCUGGACCUGUACUGACGCUCAUGCACGAAAGCGUGGGGAGCAAACAGGAUUAGAAACCCUGGUAGUCC